rnacentral:rRNA from 1 species
GAGACACGUAUGCAACCUACCUCCAACAGGGGAAUAACCCGUCGAAAGACGGACUAAUACCCCAUAAUACAGGGCUCCCUCAUGGGAAUAUUUGUUAAAGAUUUAUCGGUUGAAGAUGGGCAUGCGUUCCAUUAGCUAGUUGGUGAGGUAACGGCUCACCAAGGCAACGAUGGAUAGGGGAACUGAGAGGUUUAUCCCCCACACUGGUACUGAGACACGGACCAGACUCCUACGGGAGGCAGCAGUGAGGAAUAUUGGUCAAUGGAGGCAACUCUGAACCAGCCCACGUCACGUGAAGGAUGACGGCCCUACGGGUUGUAAACUUCUUUUGUAAGGGAAUAAAGUUAGUUACGUGUAGCUAUUUGCAUGUACCUUACGAAUAAGGAUCGGCUAACUCCGUGCCAGCCGCAGC